AAGACACUGAGGCCCUGAAGCAUGUCCAGAGAAGGGCAAUGAAGCUGAGAAGGUUCUGGAGCACAAAUCUUAUGGGGAGUGGCUGAUGGAACUGGGAUUGUUCAGUCAUAGAAGAGGAGGCUCAGGGGAGACAUUGCUGUCUACAACUGCCUGAAAGGAGGUUGUGGCAGAGCUGGAUCACAGCCUGAGUCAUCGCACUUCAAACAGAGAAUGAAAGCUCCUGAGAUGAACACAGACAUUGCCACCUUAUUCCUCCAAACUUUUCAACUCUGGACUGAACAAUUAAAUACAUUCUGUGUGAUGCUGUAAGACAAUCAGGCUUGAUUUGAUGAGGAAGGAGACACAUUCCAGCACUCUGACUCCUAUGAUCAGGGUCAUUAUUCAGUAGGCUGAAGACAGCACAUCUUGAUCUAUUGCAUAUUUGACUCUCCUCCUGCGUUACUGAUGGAUCUUGGACAUGGGCCAGUGUGCUGUGUGGUAGACAGAUCCCAUGCGAAGAGAAUGAAAAGACAUUACUGUGCAGACUGCCAGAGUUUCUGAAUGCAGAGUAAAUAAUUUCUGUCCGGAUGUUUGGAAAUUAGUUACCAUACGAUUGCAUGGCAGCUGUAGAAAAAGGCUGGACUUGUCAGAAGCACCUUCAGCUCAGGCAAUAUCCAAGCAGCUGAGAUGUACCAAGCCACCUCUGAACUGCUGAACUGUACUGCUUGCCCGAGUCACCACUGUGAGAGGUAAUGCCCCAGAGAGGAGACAGCAGGUCAAAUUCCAGUGCAAAGCAAUACAGG
rnacentral:lncRNA from 1 species